AGCGAACGCUGGCGGCAGGCCUAAUACAUGCAAGUCGAACGCACCUUCGGGUGAGCGGCGGACGGGUGAGUAACGCGUGGGAACGUGCCCUUUGGUACGGAACAACUGAGGGAAACUUCAGCUAAUACCGUAUGUGCCCUACGGGGGAAAGAUUUAUCGCCAUUGGAGCGGCCCGCGUUAGAUUAGCUAGUUGGUAGGGUAAUGGCCUACCAAGGCGACGAUCUAUAGCUGGUCUGAGAGGAUGAUCAGCCACACUGGGACUGAGACACGGCCCAGGCUCUUACGGGAGGCAGCAGUAGGGAAUCUUGCGCAAUGGGCGAAAGCCUGACGCAGCCAUGCCGCGUGAAUGAUGAAGGUCUUAGGAUUGUAAAAUUCUUUCACCGGGGACGAUAAUGACGGUACCCGGAGAAGAAGCUCCGGCUAACUUCGUGCCAGCCGCCGCCGUAAAAC
rnacentral:rRNA from 1 species